GCCCGAGUGGCGGAAUGGCAGACGCACCGCACUCAAAAUGCGGCGUCCUCUGGACGUGUGAGUUCGACUCUCACCUCGGGCACCA
rnacentral:tRNA from 1 species